rnacentral:rRNA from 1 species
UACGUAGGGUGCGAGCGUUGUCCGGAAUUACUGGGCGUAAAGAGCUCGUAGGCGGUUUGUCGCGUUGUUCGUGAAAUCUCACGGCUUAACUGUGAGCGUGCGGGCGAUACGGGCAGACUAGAGUACUGCAGGGGAGACUGGAAUUCCUGGUGUAGCGGUGGAAUGCGCAGAUAUCAGGAGGAACACCGAUGGCGAAGGCGGGUCUCUGGGCAGUAACUGACGCUGAGGCGCGACAGCGUGGGGAGCAAACAGG